GUAAUCUUGUGAAACUCUGUCGUGCUGGGGAUAGAGCAUUGCAAUUAUUGCUCUUCAACGAGGGAAUCCCUAGUAAGCGCAAGUCAUCAGCUUGCGUUGAUUACGUCACCUGCCCUUUGUACACGACCGCCCGUCGCUACUACCGAUUGAAUGGUUCAGUGAGGCUUUCGGACUGGCCCAGGGAGGUCGGCAACGACCACCCAGGGCCGGAAAGUUAUCCAAACUCGAUCAUUUAGAGGGAGUAAAAGUCGUAACAAGGUCUCCGUUGGUGAACCAGCGGAGGGAUCAUU
rnacentral:rRNA from 1 species